rnacentral:tRNA from 1 species
CAAAAUAUAGCUUAAGUAAAGCAUUUUGCUUACACCAAAAAAAUAUUUGAUAAUACAAAUUAUUUUGA